rnacentral:rRNA from 1 species
GACGAACGCUGGCGGCGUGCUUAACACAUGCAAGUCGAGCGCGGAGCUUGCUCCGAGCGGCGAACGGGUGAGUAACACGUGGGCAACCUGCCCUUGGCUCUGGGAUAACUCCGGGAAACCGGGGCUAAUACCGGAUAUGACUCGUGCGGACAUCCGCUGCGAGUGGAAAGAACUUCGGCCAAGGAUGGGCCCGCGGCCUAUCAGCUUGUUGGUGGGGUGACGGCCUACCAAGGCGACGACGGGUAGCCGGCCUGAGAGGGCGACCGGCCACACUGGG